GUCGGCUCUAGGGAUGGACUCUAACUUGAGGUCUCAUCCUAACAUUGCAUCUAUUGGCAGAUAGAAAGUUACUUCCUCCUGAUUGGACAAGGCUCUGUCAGUAAGACUAAGGAAAAAACCAAUGGAAGGGAUGGGGUGUGUCUUGCCCCACCCUUGCUCUGAGCAGCUCUGAAAAAUAGUUAGGAUGAGAAAACGACCCUCGUUGUAAAGAUGAAGAAACCGAAGUUCAGAGAAGUCACAAAACUACAAAGUGGCACACCCCAAGCUAGAACCUCCUUCCUCUCAUUUGAAGGACCACCAAACCAGCUGUUCCCCUCAUGGAAGAGGAGCAUAGACAUAAAAUGUCAAGGCAAUGGGGAACGGGCAGAGAAAAGGCACAAACACUUGGAGGAGAGACAGAACAAUUAAUUGGCACAAAAAUACAGUAUUGGUGUCAGGAGGCUUUGGUGGGCUUGGAAACAUCAAGCAGCAGAUCUGAAGGAAAUCCAGCCCUGGCAUGAAAGAAACGGGGCAGGCCAGGCGCAGUGGCUCACUCCUGUAAUCUCAGCAUUUUGGGAGGCAAAGGCGGGUGGAUCACCUGAGGUCGGGAGUUCAACACCAGCCUGGCCAAUAUGGUGAAGCCCCAUCUCUACAAAAAAUACAAAAAGUUAGCCGAGCGUGGUGGCGGGCAACUAUAAUCCCAGCUGCCUGGGAGACUGAGGCAGGAGAAUUGCUUGAACCCGGGAGGCGGAGGUUGCAGUGAGCCGAGACCAUGUCACUGCACUCCAGCCUGGGCAUGACAGAGCGAGACUCCAUCUCAAACAAAAAAAAAAAAAAGAAAAAAAUAAACCGGGCAGCACACCCCUCUGCGAUAGGAGAGCCUGGGGUAGAGAUCAGAAAGAACUUCUCGGCC
rnacentral:lncRNA from 1 species